rnacentral:tRNA from 14 species
UUAAUUGAAGCCAAAAAGAGGCGUAUCACUGUUAAUGAUAUAAUUGAGUAUAAACUCCAAUUAAG